AGAGAUAUAGCUGGGUCAAAUGGUGGUUCCAUUCCAAGUUUUCUGAGAAAUUUUCAUAUCACUUUCCAUAUGGUUGAACCAAUUUGUAUUCCCACCAGCAAU
rnacentral:pre_miRNA from 1 species